UCGAGCCCCUCCUAGUUCUUCAUCCCACUCCAACUCUUCCCCCCUAGUUGUCCCAAUUGUAACUUGAAGGGUGGAAUAUCAAGGUCUUUUUUUUCCUUGUGCCCAUUUAAUCUUGCUUUCUUUGUUCGGCUGGGAUAGAGGGGUCAAGUUAAUAAUUUCUUCACACCCACCCUCCUUUUUUUCCCUAUCACUGAAGCUUUUUAGUGCAUUAGUGGGGAGGAAAGAGGGGAAACAUAACCACUGCUUCCAUUUAAUGGGGUGCACCUGUCCAAUAGGCAUAGCUGUCCAGACAGAGCAGGUUUGCAAGAGGGAGACUUCAAGGUAGCUGAAACGGGAAGACCUGGGUUACUCGAGUUAGGUUGGGACUUGCCCUCAUGGUGGAAACUUUUCUUAAGAUUAUAACCAACUUUUCUGUUGAAAGUGGGAAUUAGGAGAGAAGGUAGGGGUUGGAAUCAGGGCGAAUGGCCUUGGUCUCUUGUUUGUGGGACUAGCCUGGCUUGGGACUAAAUGCCCUGCUCUGAACACAAAGCUCAGUAAGCUGAUGGAUAUCCCUACCUUGAAAGAAGAAAAGGUUCUUAUUGCUUGGUCCUUGAUUUAUUACACAAAGCAGAAUAGUAUUUUUAUAUUUAAAUGUAAAGACAAAAAAUUAUAUAUAUGGUUUUGUGGACAAUGUGUGUUUUGCUAAAUGAAAAAACCAGGUCACAGGGGUACCACACUUGAAGCAGAGAGUCUGGAUUAGAAAUUAAAUAUCUCCUUUUGAGUAGGGAGUGAGGGAAGUGGUUCUUAGAAAGAUGGUGAUCUGCGGGUUAGGCCCUCAAGACCACUUUAGGGUUUCUGUCCUGCCCACCCUCUGGAGAAGGUGGACACUGGUUAACAUGACAAAUGUUACUAGCAGUCUACUUGCUGUCCGUGACUGGUUUAAAAGACACUUGUCCACGUGGGUUAGAGAUAAGAGUUGGCUGGUCAACUUGAGCAUGUUACUGACAGAGGGGGUAUUGGGGUUAUUUUCUGGUAGAAAUAGCAUGUCACUAAAGCAGGCAGAUCACUUAAGGCCAGGAGUUCGAGACCAGCCUGGG
rnacentral:lncRNA from 1 species